CCCUUAGAUGUUCUGGGCCGCACGCGCGCUACACUGAACAGUUCAACAAGUCUUAACCUUGGCCGAUAGGUCUGGGUAAUCUUUGAACGCUGUUCGUGAUUGGGAUAGACCUUUGCAAUUAUGGGUCUUCAACGAGGAAUUCCUAGUAAACGCAAGUCGUCAGCUUGCAUUGAUUACGUCCCUGCCCUUUGUACACACCGCCCGUCGCACCUACCGAUUGAAUGGUCCGGUGAAAUCUCGGGACGGCGGCUUGGUCGCUUGCGUCCGACUGCUGAAACUUGAUUAAACCAUAUCAUUUAGAGGAAGGUGAAGUCGUAACA
rnacentral:rRNA from 1 species